AAAUAGAAUUUUAGUUCAACUUUAAAUUUACCAAAAAAAAACAAAGUUCUAAUGUAAAUUUAAAAUAUAAUCUAAAAAGGUACAGCUUUUUAGAACAAGGACACAACCUUUAUUAGAGAGUAAAUACUAACACAACCAUAGUUGGCCUAAAAGCAGCCAUCAAUUGAGAAAGCGUUCAAGCUCAACAAAUAAUGCAACUUAAUCCCAACCAUAUUGUAUAAACUCCUAAUUUACCCCUGGGUUAUUCUAUCUAAGUAUAGAAGCAACAAUGCUAGUAUGAGUAACAAGAAUUAUUUCUCCCCGCAUAAGCUUAUAUCAGAAACGGAUAAACCACUGAUAGUUAACAACCUGAUAAGACUAAUCCAAAAAUAAAAUACUUAUCUACCCCAUUGUUAACCCAACACAGGCAUGCACCCAAGGAAAGAUUAAAAGAAGUAAAAGGAACUCGGCAAACACAAACCCCGCCUGUUUACCAAAAACAUCACCUCCAGCAUUCCCAGUAUUGGAGGCACUGCCUGCCCAGUGACGUCCGUUAAACGGCCGCGGUAUCCUGACCGUGCAAAGGUAGCAUAAUCAUUUGUUCCUUAAAUAGGGACUUGUAUGAAUGGCCACACGAGGGUUUAACUGUCUCUUACUUCCAAUCCGUGAAAUUGACCUUCCCGUGAAGAGGCGGGAAUAUCAUAAUAAGACGAGAAGACCCUAUGGAGCUUUAAUUAAUUAGCCCAAACCCAUGAAAUCCAAACCCCUCCGGGAAUAACUUACUGUCAUCGUUAUGGGCUAACAAUUUAGGUUGGGGUGACCUCGGAAUAUAAAAAAACUCCCGAGUGAUUAAAAUUUAGACCUACCAGUCAAAAUGUAUCAUCACUUAUUGAUCCAAUAAUCAUUGAUCAACGGAACAAGUUACCCUAGGGAUAACAGCGCAAUCCUAUUUAAGAGUUCAUAUCGACAAUAGGGUUUACGACCUCGAUGUUGGAUCAGGACAUCCUAAUGGUGCAGCAGCUAUUAAGGGUUCGUUUGUUCAACGAUUAAAG
rnacentral:rRNA from 1 species